CYUYCUCCCUSGUUSCUCCUSCCAUAUCAUAUGCUUGUCUCAAAGACUAAGCCAUGCAUGUCUAAGUCCCCCCSCGUYUGACGCGGUGAGACCGCGACGGCUCAUUAAAUCAGCGUGGUCCAAAUGGGCCAGUGUUAUCUUACUUGGAUAACUGUGGUAAUUCCAGAGCUAAUACAUGCAACUUAUACCCAAAGCUGUGUCAGGACCCUCACGGGACGCUGCGCUGGCGAUGGGUGCUUUUAUUAGACCAAUCCGCUGAGGACGUUGUCAGUUUCAAACCCACUGGUAUUGCUGCUGCGUCUAGACUUCUUUAAUGGUGACUCUGGAUAACCUCUUUUGACAAGCGCACGUACCCUCUAAGGGACGGCGCUGCCACUUUCGAGUGUCUGCCUUAUCAGCUAUCAACCGUUCGUUAUGCGCGCACGAUGGCUUUGACGGGUAACGGGGAAUCAGGGUUCGAUUCCGGAGAGGCAGCCUGAGAGACGGCUACCACGUCCAAGGACGGCAGCAGGCGCGCAAAUUACCCAAUCCCAGCCCCUGGGGGAGGUAGUGACGAAAUCUAACGAUGCGGGCGCCCUUUCCAGGGCCCCGCAAUCGGAAUGAGCAUUUGCUAAACAACCUGUUGAGAACCUACUGAAGGGCAAGUCUGGUGCCAGCAGCCGCGGUAAUUCCAGCUUCAGUAGCAUCUAUUAAAGUUGCUGCGGUUAAAAGGCUCGCAGUUGAAUGUCAGUGCCAAGCGCAGGUCAGGUGGACGCUGGGGCGUGAGAACUUAAGCGUGCUUGCGUGGUAUUUUUCGCUGUUUGCGGCUGGUCGCGGUGCAGUCUUUACGGGCUCACACUUCCGGUAUCCAACGCUUCGGUGAUGUCUGCGUGGGUGCGUCUCACAAGCCCCCGUCCGUGACAAGCCUCCUCGCUUGCGCACAGAACGCAUUUGCCUUACAGGACAAGGCGUCAGCUAACGGGUGGGGACUCCCUUCGGGGUGCGCCUGUCACGACCGGCCCGCUUUCGAUUUCCUAGGCAAUGCACGGUCACCUUGAGUAAAUCAGAGUGCUCAAAGCAAUCGUAGGGGCCUUGUUUGCCCUGUUAUACAGUCUUGACAGAUUGACUGGUUUUGCAUGGUAUGUCGGAAGACGACGUCGUUGGCUGGCUAGGAGUUGGGGUUUUAAAGGUCUGGAUGCUUUCGGGUGUCCUAGUCUCGCCUGUAUCAGUGGUAUAAGCCAGCUGCGACGUAAUGAUUAACAGGGACGGUCGUGGGCAUUGGUAUUGCGAGGCGAGAGGUGAAAUUCUAUGACCCCCGCAAGACCUCCUGAAGCGAAAGCAUCUGCCAAGGACGUUUUCAUUAAUCAUGAACGAAAGUCAGAGGAUCGAAGGCGAUCAGAUACCGCCCUAGUUCUGACCCUAAACGAUGCCAACCAUCAAUCGGCGCGUAGCACCCUUCCUAACGGGCUCGGCCGGCGGCUCCCCCACUCACGGGAAACCAGAGUCUUUGGGUUCCGGGGGGAGUCUGGUUGCAAAGCUGAAACUUAAAGGAAUUGACGGAAAGGCACCACCAGGCGUGGAGCCUGCGGCUUAAUUUGACUCAACACGGGCCAUCUCACCAGGCCAGCACUCUUGCAUGAUUGACAGAUUGAGAGCUCUUUCUCGAUUCAGUGGAUGGUGGUGCAUGGCCGUUCUUAGUUGGUGGAGUGAUCUGUCUGGUUAAUUCCGAUAACGAACGAGACUCUUCCCUGUUAAGUAGACGACUGGAUCUUCUCAUGCGAGUUGUGUACCGGUGAUCGGAGGGGGUCGGGUGCACUAACGCGGCGGGUGUGCGUUGGUGAGGGGUUGGUCAUUCGUGGCCUUCUUUCGAGCCGCGUGCAUUGCAGUCGUAGUAUCUGUGCUCUACUCACGGCCCGGACCCACACACUGCAAGUCCGUCGUCGGUCAAAGGAUCUUCUUAGAGGGAUUCAUGGCUCUGAAGCCAUAAGAGACUGAGAGCAAUAACAGGUCUGUGAUGCCCUUAGAUGCUCUGGGCCGCACGCGCGCUACAAUGCCGGGCACAGCAGGUUCUUUCCUUCUCCGUCAGGUGCGGGUAACCCUCUGAAAGCCCUCGAAUACUCUAUGUGCAAAGUGGAUGCUCUCAUCACUUGUGGUGAGACUCUACCGAUGGCGUGCUUGGGCCUGGGGCUUGCAAUUCUUUCCCACAAACGAGGAAUGCCUAGUAGCGGCGGGUCACUAGCUCGCUGUGACUCCGUCCCUGCCCUUUGUACACACCGCCCGUCGCUACUACCGAUUGGGUGUUCCAGUGAGAGCCUUGAUUGGCGUCCCUGCCUUUUGGGCCGCGGUCCGAGCGAAAGAGUU
rnacentral:rRNA from 1 species